AGCAACAAAUGCCCUGCUUCCAGGAAAAGCCUCUAAGCAUCAGGUAACAUCAAAUCGUACCCCAAACCGACACAGGUGGUCAGGUAGAGAAUACCAAGGCGCUUGAGAGAACUCGGGUGAAGGAACUAGGCAAAAUGGUGCCGUAACUUCGGGAGAAGGCACGCUGACACGUAGGUGAAGUGAUUUACUCAUGGAGCUGAAGUCAGUCGAAGAUACCAGCUGGCUGCAACUGUUUAUUAAAAACACAGCACUGUGCAAACACGAAAGUGGACGUAUACGGUGUGACGCCUGCCCGGUGCCGGAAGGUUAAUUGAUGGGGUCAGCGCAAGCGAAGCUCCUGAUCGAAGCCCCGGUAAACGGCGGCCGUAACUAUAACGGUCCUAAGGUAGCGAAAUUCCUUGUCGGGUAAGUUCCGACCUGCACGAAUGGCGUAAUGAUGGCCAGGCUGUCUCCACCCGAGACUCAGUGAAAUUGAACUCGCUGUGAAGAUGCAGUGUACCCGCGGCAAGACGGAAAGACCCCGUGAACCUUUACUAUAGCUUGACACUGAACAUUGAGCCUUGAUGUGUAGGAUAGGUGGGAGGCUUUGAAGUGUGGACGCCAGUCUGCAUGGAGCCGGCCUUGAAAUACCACCCUUUAAUGUUUGAUGUUCUAACGUGGACCCGUGAUCCGGGUUGCGGACAGUGUCUGGUGGGUAGUUUGACUGGGGCGGUCUCCUCCUAAAGAGUAACGGAGGAGCACGAAGGUUGGCUAAUCCUGGUCGGACAUCAGGAGGUUAGUGCAAUGGCAUAAGCCAGCUUGACUGCGAGCGUGACGGCGCGAGCAGGUGCGAAAGCAGGUCAUAGUGAUCCGGUGGUUCUGAAUGGAAGGGCCAUCGCUCAACGGAUAAAAGGUACUCCGGGGAUAACAGGCUGAUACCGCCCAAGAGUUCAUAUCGACGGCGGUGUUUGGCACCUCGAUGUCGGCUCAUCACAUCCUGGGGCUGAAGUAGGUCCCAAGGGUAUGGCUGUUCGCCAUUUAAAGUGGUACGCGAGCUGGGUUUAGAACGUCGUGAGACAGUUCGGUCCCUAUCUGCCGUGGGCGCUGGAGAACUGAGGGGGGCUGCUCCUAGUACGAGAGGACCGGAGUGGACGCAUCACUGGUGUUCGGGUUGUCAUGCCAAUGGCACUGCCCGGUAGCUAAAUGCGGAAGAGAUAAGUGCUGAAAGCAUCUAAGCACGAAACUUGCCCCGAGAUGAGUUCUCCCUGAGACUUUAGGUCUCCUGAAGGAACGUUGAAGACGACGACGU
rnacentral:rRNA from 1 species